rnacentral:rRNA from 1 species
GUUCUACCUUGACGAAUUGUAGUUUAAAGAAGUGUUUUCUGUUAGAGGAGUAGCAAAAGUUCCUUGGAAUGGGACAUCAUAGAGGGUGAGAAUCCCGUAUUUGGAUAUUCUUUCUAGCUUUGUGAUACACUUUCAAAGAGUCGGAUUGUUUGGGAAUGCAGUCCAAAAUGGGUGGUAAAUUUCAUCUAAAGCUAAAUAUUGGCGAGAGACCGAUAGCGAACAAGUACCGUGAGGGAAAGAUGAAAAGAACUUUGAAAAGAGAGUUAAACAGUACGUGAAAUUGUCAAAAGGGAAGCGUUUGACACCAGUGUUGUUUUUCCGAAAAUCAAUUAAGAAGGGCUUGAUUUUGUGUUGUAUUGACCUUAUCAGCUUUCUUCACUCUUUUUCGAGUCUUUCUU